rnacentral:rRNA from 1 species
CCUACGGGUGGCUGCAGUGAGGAAUAUUGGUCAAUGGGCGCGAGCCUGAACCAGCAACGCCGCGUGAGGGAAGACGGUUUUCGGAUUGUAAACCUCUUUUGCCGGGGUGCAGUGGUCCGGACGCGUCCGGACCGGGAGAGUACCCGGAGAAAAAGCAUCGGCUAACUCCGUGCCAGCAGCCGCGGUAAUACGGAGGAUGCGAGCGUUAUCCGGAUUUAUUGGGUUUAAAGGGUGCGUAGGCGGGCAUUUAAGCCGGCGGUCAAAUGUCGGGGCUCAACCCCGGCCUGCCGUCGGAACUGGGUGCCUUGAGUGGGCGAGAAGUAUGCGGAAUGCGUGGUGUAGCGGUGAAAUGCAUAGAUAGCACGCAGAACCCCGAUUGCGAAGGCAGCAUACCGGCGCCCUACUGACGCUGAGGCACGAAAGUGCGGGUAUCGAACAGGAUUAGAUACCCCUGUAGUC